AAGUUGAAAACAUUUAGAUGUAUUUAGUUUCGACCUAAAAUAAGGAUUUUCCUCAACUUA
rnacentral:tRNA from 1 species